rnacentral:rRNA from 1 species
CAGUCGCCGCGGUAAUACGAAGGGGGCUAGCGUUGUUCGGAAUUACUGGGCGUAAAGCGCACGUAGGCGGCUUGGUAAGUUAGAGGUGAAAGCCUGGAGCUCAACUCCAGAAUUGCCUUUAAGACUGCCGAGCUAGCAGGUGAGAGAGGUAAGUGGAAUUCCGAGUGUAGAGGUGAAAUUCGUAGAUAUUCGGAAGAACACCAGUGGCGAAGGCGGCUUACUGGCUCAUACUGGACGCUGAGGUGCGAAAGCGUGGGGAGCAAACAGGAUUAGAUACCCCCGUAGUCCCUGUCUCUUAUAC